rnacentral:rRNA from 1 species
UUAAGUGACUAAGCGUACACGGUGGAUGCCUUGGCAGUCAGAGGCGAUGAAGGACGUAUUAACUUGCGAUAAGCCCAGAUUAGGUAGUAAAAACCAUUUGAGUCUGGGAUUUCCGAAUGGGGAAACCCACUUGCAUAAGCAAGUAUCGCUACGUGAAUACAUAGCGCAGCGAGGCGAACCGGGGGAACUGAAACAUCUAAGUACCCCGAGGAAAAGAAAUCAACCGAGAUUCCGAAAGUAGCGGCGAGCGAAAUUGGACUAGCCCUUAAGCUUUUUAUGCGUCAGGUGAAACUUCUGGAAAGUUGUGCGAUACAGGGUGAUAGCCCCGUAACCGGCAACGCAUUUAAAGUGAAAUCGAGUAGGGCGGGACACGUGAUAUCCUGUCUGAAUAUGGGGGGGACCAUCCUCCAAGGCUAAAUACUACUGACUGACCGAUAGUGAACCAGUACCGUGAGGGAAAGGCGAAAAGAACCCCUGUGAGGGGAGUGAAAUAGAACCUGAAACCGUGUACGUACAAGCAGUAGGAGCACCUUCGUGGUGUGACUGCGUACCUUUUGUAUAAUGGGUCAGCGACUUAUAUUCAGUGGCAAGGUUAACCAUCUAGGGGAGCCGUAGCGAAAGCGAGUGUUAACUGCGCGACUCAGUCGCUGGAUAUAGACCCGAAACCAGGUGAUCUAGCCAUGGGCAGGUUGAAGAUUGAGUAACAUCAAUUGGAGGACCGAACCGACUAAUGUUGAAAAAUUAGCGGAUGACUUGUGGCUAGGGGUGAAAGGCCAAUCAAACCUGGAGAUAGCUGGUUCUCCCCGAAAGCUAUUUAGGUAGCGCCUCGGACGAAUACUACUGGGGGUAGAGCACUGUUAAGGCUAGGGGGUCAUCCCGACUUACCAACCCUUUGCAAACUCCGAAUACCAGUAAGUACUAUCCGGGAGACACACGGCGGGUGCUAACGUCCGUCGUGGAGAGGGAAACAACCCAGACCGCCAGCUAAGGUCCCAAAUUACUACUAAGUGGGAAACGAUGUGGGAAGGCUCAGACAGCCAGGAUGUUGGCUUAGAAGCAGCCAUCAUUUAAAGAAAGCGUAAUAGCUCACUGGUCGAGUCGGCCUGCGCGGAAGAUGUAACGGGGCUAAGUAGUAAACCGAAGCUGCGGCAAUGCACUUUAGUGCAUUGGGUAGGGGAGCGUUCUGUAAGCGGUUGAAGGUGUGUGGUAACGCAUGCUGGACGUAUCAGAAGUGCGAAUGCUGACAUGAGUAACGAUAAAGGGGGUGAAAAACCUCCUCGCCGGAAGACCAAGGGUUCCUGUCCAACGUUAAUCGGGGCAGGGUAAGUCGACCCCUAAGGCGAGGCCGAAAGGCGUAGUCGAUGGGAAACGGGUUAAUAUUCCCGUACUUCUUACAAUUGCGAUGGGGGGACGGAGAAGGCUAGGUGAGCCUGGCGACGGUUGUCCAGGUUCAAGUGCGUAGGCUGAGAAAUUAGGUAAAUCCGGUUUCUCUUAAGGCUGAGACACGACGUCGAGCAUCUACGGAUGUGAAGUCAUUGAUGCCAUGCUUCCAGGAAAAGCCUCUAAGCUUCAGAUUGUAAGGAAUCGUACCCCAAACCGACACAGGUGGUCGGGUAGAGAAUACCAAGGCGCUUGAGAGAACUCGGGUGAAGGAACUAGGCAAAAUGGUACCGUAACUUCGGGAGAAGGUACGCUCUCGACGGUGAAGUCCCUCGCGGAUGGAGCUAUUGAGAGUCGCAGAUACCAGGUGGCUGCAACUGUUUAUUAAAAACACAGCACUGUGCAAAAUCGCAAGAUGACGUAUACGGUGUGACGCCUGCCCGGUGCCGGAAGGUUAAUUGAUGGGGUUAGACUUCGGUCGAAGCUCUUGAUCGAAGCCCCGGUAAACGGCGGCCGUAACUAUAACGGUCCUAAGGUAGCGAAAUUCCUUGUCGGGUAAGUUCCGACCUGCACGAAUGGCGUAAUGAUGGCCACGCUGUCUCCACCCGAGACUCAGUGAAAUUGAAAUCGCUGUGAAGAUGCAGUGUACCCGCGGCUAGACGGAAAGACCCCGUGAACCUUUACUACAGCUUGGCACUGAACAUUGACCCUACAUGUGUAGGAUAGGUGGGAGGCUUUGAAGCGCAGUCGCUAGAUUGCGUGGAGCCGUCCUUGAAAUACCACCCUUGUAGUGUUGAUGUUCUAACGUCGACCCCUAAUCGGGGUUGCGGACAGUGCCUGGUGGGUAGUUUGACUGGGGCGGUCUCCUCCCAAAGAGUAACGGAGGAGCACGAAGGUGGGCUAAUCACGGUUGGACAUCGUGAGGUUAGUGCAAUGGCAUAAGCCCGCUUGACUGCGAGAAUGACAAUUCGAGCAGGUGCGAAAGCAGGUCAUAGUGAUCCGGUGGUUCUGAAUGGAAGGGCCAUCGCUCAACGGAUAAAAGGUACUCCGGGGAUAACAGGCUGAUACCGCCCAAGAGUUCAUAUCGACGGCGGUGUUUGGCACCUCGAUGUCGGCUCAUCACAUCCUGGGGCUGAAGUCGGUCCCAAGGGUAUGGCUGUUCGCCAUUUAAAGUGGUACGCGAGCUGGGUUUAGAACGUCGUGAGACAGUUCGGUCCCUAUCUGCCGUGGGCGUUGGAAGAUUGAAGGGGGCUGCUCCUAGUACGAGAGGACCGGAGUGGACGAACCUCUGGUGUUCGGGUUGUGUCGCCAGACGCAUUGCCCGGUAGCUAAGUUCGGAAUCGAUAACCGCUGAAAGCAUCUAAGCGGGAAGCGAGCCCUGAGAUGAGUCUUCCCUGAUACUUUAAGUAUCCUAAAGGGUUGUUCGAGACUAGAACGUUGAUAGGCAGGGUGUGUAAGCGUUGUGAGGCGUUGAGCUAACCUGUACUAAUUGCCCGUGAGGCUUAACCA